rnacentral:rRNA from 1 species
CUGGCGACCGGCGCACGGUGAGUAACACGUAUCCAACCUGCCGAUAACUCGGGGAUAGCCUUUCGAAAGAAAGAUUAAUACCCGAUGGCAUAAUUAGACCGCAUGGUCUUAUUAUUAAAGAAUUUCGGUUAUCGAUGGGGAUGCGUUCCAUUAGGUUGUUGGUGAGGUAACGGCUCACCAAGCCUUCGAUGGAUAGGGGUUCUGAGAGGAAGGUCCCCCACAUUGGAACUGAGACACGGUCCAA